rnacentral:rRNA from 2 species
AUGUUAGCGGCGGACGGGUGAGUAACACGUGGGUAACCUACCUAUAAGACUGGGAUAACUCCGGGAAACCGGGGCUAAUACCGGAUAAUAUUUUGAACCGCAUGGUUCAAUAGUGAAAGACGGUUUCGGCUGUCACUUAUAGAUGGACCCGCGCCGUAUUAGCUAGUUGGUAAGGUAAUGGCUUACCAAGGCGACGAUACGUAGCCGACCUGAGAGGGUGAUCGGCCACACUGGAACUGAGACACGGUCCAGACUCCUACGGGAGGCAGCAGUAGGGAAUCUUCCGCAAUGGGCGAAAGCCUGACGGAGCAACGCCGCGUGAGUGAUGAAGGUCUUCGGAUCGUAAAACUCUGUUGUUAGGGAAGAACAAAUUUGUUAGUAACUGAACAAGUCUUGACGGUACCUAACCAGAAAGCCACGGCUAACUACGUGCCAGCAGCCGCGGUAAUACGUAGGUGGCAAGCGUAUACCGGAUAGUUUGGGCGUAAAGCGCGCGUAAGGCGGUUUUUUAAGUUCUGAUGUGAAAGCCCACGGCUCAACCGUGGAGGGUCAUUGGAAACUGGGAAACUUGAGUGCAGAAGAGGAGAGUGGAAUUCCAUGUGUAGCGGUGAAAUGCGCAGAGAUAUGGAGGAACACCAGUGGCGAAGGCGGCUCUCUGGUCUGUAACUGACGCUGAUGUGCGAAAGCGUGGGGAUCAAACAGGAUUAGAUACCCUGGUAGUCCACGCCGUAAACGAUGAGUGCUAAGUGUUAGGGGGUUUCCGCCCCUUAGUGCUGCAGCUAACGCAUUAAGCACUCCGCCUGGGGAGUACGACCGCAAGGUUGAAACUCAAAGGAAUUGACGGGGACCCGCACAAGCGGUGGAGCAUGUGGUUUAAUUCGAAGCAACGCGAAGAACCUUACCAAAUCUUGACAUCCUUUGACCGCUCUAGAGAUAGAGUCUUCCCCUUCGGGGGACAAAGUGACAGGUGGUGCAUGGUUGUCGUCAGCUCGUGUCGUGAGAUGUUGGGGUUAAGUCCCGCAACGAGCGCAACCCUUAAGCUUAGUUGCCAUCAUUAAGUUGGGCACUCUAGGUUGACUGCCGGUGACAAACCGGAGGAAGGUGGGGAUGACGUCAAAUCAUCAUGCCCCUUAUGAUUUGGGCUACACACGUGCUACAAUGGAUAAUACAAAGGGCAGCGAAUCCGCGAGGCCAAGCAAAUCCCAUAAAAUUAUUCUCAGUUCGGAUUGUAGUCUGCAACUCGACUACAUGAAGCUGGAAUCGCUAGUAAUCGUAGAUCAGCAUGCUACGGUGAAUACGUUCCCGGGUCUGUACACACCGCCCGUCACACCACGAGAGUUUUGUACACCGGAAGCCGUGGA